UACGGGGGGAGCAAGCGUUGUUCGGAUUUACUGGGCGUAAAGGGCGCGUAGGCGGCCAAACAAGUCACUUGUGAAAUCUCCGGGCUUAACUCGGAAAGGUCAAGUGAUACUGUUUGGCUAGAGUGCGGAAGGGGCAACUGGAAUUCUCGGUGUAGCGGUGAAAUGCGUAGAUAUCGAGAGGAACACCUGCGGCGAAGGCGGGUUGCUGGGCCGACACUGACGCUGAAGCGCGAAAGCUAGGGGAGCGAACGGG
rnacentral:rRNA from 1 species